CCUUCCUCCUCAUCUCCUCUCUCCUUACUCUCCAUGGAGAUCCCCAUCCCCGCUGGAUCACCAUGGAGAUCGAGAGAGGGGAGAAGAAGAAGAGGGGGGGGAGAAAGAAGAGUAGGGGGUUGGAGGAAGAAGAUUCGCCUCUAUGACCAUGGAGACCGCUGGACGGAGAAAUAGUGGUUGCCAUCGGAGCUCACUGUCUCAGUCACUACCCCUCUACGGAUUCGUCGACGUCGACGACAACGAGGAGUUAAAUUGGUUUACUACUCUGCCUCCUCCAGUCGACCGCGCCGCCGGUACUCCUCCUCACGCCUCUUGCCGCCGCGCUGCCCUAAACCCUCACCCGCUCGGCCUCCUCCCCUCCCCAUCUCCCUCAUCCACCACCUCACUCGAUCCUUCUUUAUUGCAACAUCCCGAUCCCCUCGCAUCGCCCUCGAAAUUCUCCCAUCUUCGCCGAGAUAGCCGGCGCUGCUCCCGUCUUCUCGGCAAGCCAGCAGCCGCCACCGCCUUUCCUCGCCUCCUCUCCCAGGCGGCUUCAUAGGUUCUCCCCCUCCACUUUAGCUCACAUGGAGAUCAAGAGGGUGAAGAUUGCCGUUCACGUAGCGAGGAUCAUCUCGAUGAUCCUCGCCAUCGGGGUAAUGUGUGUCAUUUAUAUACCGACAUCUUAUGUCAAGCCUCUGUCCUACAGAUAUGUCUUAGUGGCUAUGUGGUUUGAGGUGAUUUGGGGUUUGCUGGAGUUGCUCCUCCAAGCAACACACCCGUUCCUUUGUGGCGUGGGACAUAUAUCCACUACACUGCUCACCAUGAUGGUCAUGAUCAACAUGAUAUGUUCACUGGCUCAAAUAAUCAUAUUAUUAUUUAUACUGGAAAUGGAGGGAAUUAAUUAAUACUUUGUUUAUAUGGGCGGUCUUAAAAAGAUGUAUUAUGUCGGAAAUAAAAUAUUAAGUGACAAAUUUGCUUUCCUUUUAACUCAUAACUCAUUCGCCCCCUCUCAAACGUCUUCCUAAUUUGAUUAAGUUAUAUUUAUGGUCAUGCAGGUGCUUAUGUGUUGCACGUGGGGUAUGGCUAUUGCAGCCUUGAGCACUGCCCUAUUUGCUAGACAGCACAGAUUUUGCAUCAGCGUGUUUAAGUGCACACGGUUCCUAGUUGGAUUUGUGCUAGCGGUGUCUGUUGGAUUUCUUAGCGCCGUCAAGGCAUUAGGUAUGCUAUGGAUCCUCGGAUCCCAAUUUCCUCGUGCCGAGUAGGAGAUUAGGGUGGUAUAUGUAUACACACAAUCUCUGUACUCUCGUAUGUUAAGUACAUGUGUAGAUCUGAUUGUGUUAGAACCAUGUAAACAUCUAUGUCUCAUGCUGAGGACUAGAAAGGUCUGUCUACACAUCUACGUCUCACGGCAAUAUGAUUGGA